GGGGUUAAACUAUCAGUGUGCUGACCACGUCUUUCAAGUCCAGAAGUAUGCACGGAACGACUUUCAGGCUCAAAUGGCUAGGUUACGUGAAAGAACUAUUUCAGGUUGCCUGCUGCCUUUGAUCCACAGGGUAGAUCAAAGAUCUCAUCCAUGCAAGGUCUCUCCAAGACUGGAGAAAAAGAAGCAGUAAGUGAGAGUGUUCUCGCGAGAGACUGCAGAGCAGUGAACAGUCAUGGGUGGUUGACGGAGGAGGCUGAGGACCUGGAAACAUUGUGGACAGUGCUCCUUGGCAGGUUGAAUUUCCUUUUUGAACCCAGCUUUCUUGGCGUCGACCCUUAGUUCUCUGGUUUGUUACUGUCCUAGUGAUUGACACAGUAUCUCCUUGUUCUGUUCCACAUGGAGCGACCUCCUUCCUUGAUCCCUACCCCAAAUCGGACCCGUCUCUAGACCCACUUGCAGGUGACAAAAAUGGAUUCCGGAUGAAUGAAGCAGAAGAGCUUAUGGAGGGAAAAUUAAAGAGCUCAAGAACCACCAAGGCUGCUGGCGAAUCAGGCCGUCUCCUAGGAGACCGGGAGACCAGAGGGAAAUGAUGUGGAGUCACUGCUGGCUGAGUGCAAGUUGGGGAGGGGCAGAGAGAGAGGGAGACACAGAAUCUGAAGCAGGCUCCAGGCUCUGAGCUGUCAGCACAGAGCCCCACGUGGGGUUCGAACUCACAGACCGCGAGAUCAUGACCUGAGCCAAAGUCAGAUGCCCAACUGACUGAGCCACCCAAGGCGCCCCUCUGUUUAUUUAUUUUUGAGAGAGAGACAGAGUGUGGGCGGGGGAAGGGGCAGAGAGAGAGGGAGACACAGAAUCUGAAGCAGGCUCCAGGCUCUGAACUGUCAGCACAGAUCCCGAUGCGGGGCUCAAACUCACAGACUGGGAGAUCAUGACCUGAGCUGAAGUCAGACGCUUACCGGACUGAGCCACCCAGGUGCCCCUGUGGUCUCAUUUUAAAGCUGUUUUAUUUUUGUCAAAACUAUGCAUGCAUAUAGCUUAAGAAUGAAGUUACUAUUAUGUAUCUAUUUCCAUGUCUCUAAAUAAACCACUUACGUUGUCACUUACUGAUCUGUUUCAAUCACCCUCCUCUUACUUCCAAAUCCUGAAUGUAGGGCCUUUCUCAGCCCCUCCCUGACUGUCACCACAGUCCGCAGGGCACUAUUACAACCCCUCAUAAUUCUACCUAGAAACUAAUGUCACUAUUCAAUGGAUAUUUUACCAUGGCUGUAAAACUCUAUUCGCAGUUAAGCCAUGGAACACUUGAUGAUGUUAUGUAAAUAGUAUCUUCUCUUGGAUUUCAUUUUCUGAUUGUUGUUCGUAAUUAGCAACACAAUUGAUUUUGUGAUAUUGGCCAUGAAUCCAGCAAUCUUGUUGUAUUAAUUUUUGAAUUCCACAGCUUAUGUGUAGUUCUCUGGCCUUUCUACAUUCACAAUCGUAUCUCUGAAUGAUGGCAGCUUUUCCCUUCCUUUCUAGUAGUUACUCCUUUUCCUUAAGUGGACAUUAUUGAGGUAUAAUUCUUAUCCUAUAAGGUGAAUGACUUUUAAGUGUGCAGUUCAAUGAACUUUGACAAAUGAGUGGACCCAGGAGAGUAUUACAACAAACAAGAUGUAGAAUCUUUCCCCAAGUCCCUUGCUGGUCAGUAGGAGAUCCAUAUAUUCCCGUAUAUUCUACUCCAGGAAAAUACUGAAGUUACAUUUUUUUCCCUAGAAUUUUCUACUUCUGUCCCCCUUUGUAUUUAUGAUGUUGUUUAUUUAACCUUCUCCGUUUAGUCUGACUAUUCUUUCCAGGGGUUUAUCAGUUGUAUCAGUCUUUUCAAGUAACAAACUUUUGCCAUUGUUGAUUCUUUCUGUUGUAUGCUUGUUUCUAUUUGAUUGAUUUCCACUCUUAUCUUUGUUAUUCCCUUCUUUGGAUUUAAUUGACUUUUUUUUUUUAAAAGAACUUAUUGAGGUUGAUGCUGAGAUCACGGAUUUUUAACCCAUUACCUUUCUCCAAUAGACCACAAAUUACCUUCUAAGCACAGCUUCUGUCUGUUCUAGAAGUUUUGACAUUUUGUAUUUCGAUUAUCAUUAACUUGAAGGUAUUUAAAAAUUUUAUUUUGAUUUCCCCUUUGAGUUAUGAGUUGUUCAAAAGAUCAUUUUUUAAUUUCCAAAUAUAAGAUUAGUUUCUAAUUAGCUUUUUGUUAUAAUUCUCAGCUAAAUUCUGUGAGGUCAGAAUAUAUUCUGUAUGAUUCCAGUCUGUGAAAAUUUUGUAGAUUUUGCUUUAUUUUAAAAUAUUGGUAAAUACGCCACUUAGGAGCAUGUAUACAUUGCAGCUGUUAGAAGCUAUGUUCUGUGUAAGUAAAUUGAGUUGGAUGUGUUCAGCAGGAUGUCAAAUCUUUGAUAUUUGUACUGCUUUGGUCUGUUUGUUCUCUCAAUUACUGAGAGACCUGAAUUCAUAGCCACCAUUUUGAUUGUGGAUUUGCAUAUUUUUCUGUAUAGCUCUGUUCAUUAUUGCUACUUUAGUUGUCUCGAGGCCAUAUUAUUAGUUCCAUGUUGCUUAUAAAUACUACAUCUUCCUGGUAAAAUAAAA